rnacentral:rRNA from 1 species
UACGGAGGGGGCUAGCGUUGUUCGGAAUUACUGGGCGUAAAGCGCACGUAGGCGGCUUUGUAAGUUAGAGGUGAAAGCCCGGGGCUCAACUCCGGAAUUGCCUUUAAGACUGCAUCGCUAGAAUUGUGGAGAGGUAAGUGGAAUUCCGAGUGUAGAGGUGAAAUUCGUAGAUAUUGGGAAGAACACCGGUGGCGAAGGCGGCGACCUGGUUCAUUACUGACGCUGAGGCGCGAAAGCGUGGGGAGCAAACAGG